AUUGAACGCUGGCGGCAGGCUUAACACAUGCAAGUCGAGCGGGGGAAGGUAGCUUGCUACUGGACCUAGCGGCGGACGGGUGAGUAAUGCUUAGGAAUCUGCCUAUUAGCGGGGGACAACAUCCCGAAAGGGAUGCUAAUACCGCAUACGACCUACGGGAGAAAGCAGGGGAUCUUCGGACCUUGCGCUAAUAGAUGAGCCUAAGUCGGAUUAGCUAGGUGGUGGGGUAAAGGCCUACCAAGGCGACGAUCUGUAGCGGGUCUGAGAGGAUGAUCCGCCACACUGGGACUGAGACACGGCCCAGACUCCGACGGGAGGCAGCAGUGGGGAAUAUUGGACAAUGGGGGGAACCCUGAUCCAGCCAUGCCGCGUGUGUGAAGAAGGCCUUAUGGUUGUAAGGCACUUUAAGCGAGGAGGAGGCUACUUUAGUUAAUACCUAGAGAUAGUGGACGUUACUCGCAGAAUAAGCACCGGCUAACUCUGUGCCAGCAGCCGCGGUAA
rnacentral:rRNA from 1 species